UUCAUCCGAACCGUCGUAUAUGGUCGGGGUUGAAAUGCCAAUGUUGUAACAACAUUGAAAUACUGUGGUAAACCGACGGUCUUACUAUAGAGACGUUGUAACGAUGUUGAUUCACCGUUGUUUUUUUGUCAUUGAUAUUUGAUCUAUUUGUAGUCGACCAGGUGACAACAACAACGUCGAGAAAACGUCUAUUUAUAGUUGACGAUCAUUCGGCUCCGGUCACCAUCAAAAACCAUCGAUUUGUAGUUGAGCAUUAAAUUGCACUGCAACUGAUCGGGUAUAAAGUACCAGAGAAAGUAGAUUUAUUGUUCAUUUGUUAUCAAUGACUUGGUCUAGUUCACCAGCUUUAAAAAAAAUCAUGUCUACGUGCAAUUUAUGUAUAGUUGACCGGGAAAUUAAAGCAGCGAUCACUUGGACUAUUCCGCAGCACCCCUCUCACAUUGGUACAUCCCCCCAGGUAUUCAUUGUCUUCUACAGUAGAGCGGGACAUUUGAUUUACUCUCAGCGGAAUUUACCGGAGACGGCAUCAGUUCAUGCACUGCACUGGCCUGCACCACGAUUAGUAUAAGGCACAUUUCACGAAGCAGAACGCAGUCUCAGAGAUAUCCACGUGAACGCUGUGAUACGUCUGACCUUCAGUCCGAAGAAGAAACCCAGACCAGUCUUAAAAGAAAGCACAAACCAAAUCCCCUGUACACAUAUACGGACUCAGAGGAUGAGCAACCUACAAAAAAACGGUUUCCCCAGGCCCCUCGAGUGAAAAUACCAGCCUUCAUCACUCCAGUCUGCCCCCCAGCCCACUGAUAGCAACCAUCAUAAUGCCCCACCCAGCUUCCGGCACCUUUCGCCACUCCGGCACAAACCGACACAGCUUUGCGAUCUCGCCAGCAUGCAGUCUGAUGUCUUCCCUAUAGAUGAUUCCAGAGACUCUGUGAGGCCACUAUUACAAGGUGAGACGCUUUGCGUUGAUUGGUGCUGCUGGACCACACUGGAGGUGCGAGUCCGCCGUGUAAUGGUUUAUGCCAUUACAAAGGAGCUGGCCUCUGUACUCAACUGGGCAGGGAAAAAAAACCAAGGACCAGACAAAGCAAAAAAGGGCAUUUAAAGAGACAGCGCUGUGCAGAUGCAUAUUUGGUAAGUUUUACUGUUUAUUGUAGUUUUAUGAGCCUAAAGUGAACAAUAAAGGGAUCAAUUGAUGUGCUGGGUGCGUUUCACAUUUCCUAUGUUUUUUUUUUUUUUUUGCUAUAUUACUUUGUCUUUCUUAAUAACAAGACUUUCAUGUCCGGUUAAUCUGGAGAUGGAGUCUUUGGUCUUCGGCUUGUUUUGUCCUCGGGUUGUACACUUUGUACAGCCCGAGGACCCCAUGUUUUCUUUUUUUUUUUUUUUAAAGGAUACACGGCACACCAUGCUAAGACAUAUCACAUUUUCAGCUUAUAGCUCUUUGGGAAUCAAAUGCAGCAGUUUGCUGAUUUCCGCCUGGUGACUUUCAUGUUUAUCAGCCUAGGAGUUUACAUACUUUCUCCCUGCUGAAGACAAUUAACAAGAGCUUAUUCAUGUGCUCUA
ensembl:lncRNA